rnacentral:tRNA from 1 species
ACGCCAAUGGUGAAACGGUUAUCAUGCUUGCCUUCCAUUCCAGAGUAUGUCCGGUCGUUUGAGCAAGCGGUAGGGGUUCGACUCCCCUUCGGCGUA